ensembl:lncRNA
ACACACACACACACACACACACACACACACACACACACACACACACACACACACACAGAAAGACACACAUAAUCAGGCACAUGCAUUUUUACUUGAUAGCACGGACAAACUGAUACACUCAAGUAGACAGACACAGACACACAUUUAUCAAAACACAUACACAUACAAAUACAGUACACAAGAUCACCAAUACAAGAGUAAUGAGGAGCGGACAGCCGAGAGACAGAUAAGGAGAAGAGUGACGAGGGUCAGGCUAGUUUAGCUGGCAGUGGGCUUGCAGACCUCCACUCCGCCGCCACACAGAGCCCAUGGCAGUGGCGUUUGCUUGCACAGGGCGUAAAUCAUUUGACUCUGUUGAUGUGGAUUAAUGUAACCUUUGGCCCCCUCACUCCCUCCAUGUUCGGAGACAGGAACAUUGGCCCCUGUAAAGCCGGCCCUUGAUGGGCAAAAUGCAGGGAAUUCAUAUCAGCUUUCAAAGGCAGUAUGGAAGCUGUCGUGGAAGCUGUCAUGGAAGUCGUCAUGAAACGUUAACAGGGUGAGAGGUGGUUGAGAGGCAUUGACCAGACACAGUUCGUAGUUCACAUACCCUCAUCAGGUUAUCUUACAGUUUUUUCCAACUGCUUACACACAAAAUCUUUUCAUGUCACACGAUUUUUGAAACCUCUCACUCAAAGUGCAAAACUACACACCAAAACCAUUAGCUAUUUCUCAGCCUUUGACUCAGUUGUCAAUUGCAUAAAACACUUUUUUCGAAACACUACUCACAAUUCUCUACCUAAAACACAAAAAUCGAACAGGAAGUGACUUGCUUUCCUUUUCCAAACACAACCAAUCAAAAUGCUACACUUAUUCACCAGGUCACACACACAUACUCCUCAUAUGUGCAAACACUAAUAGCUUAACUGAUCACUAACCAAUCACUGCUUUACUGUAGUAUAGGCCUAUAAACAGGUCAAAGGUCAGAUUACCUGUUUUGAACAAUGGAUGCCAACAAUGGACAGAGAGCAAGAGGAGUAGGAGGGAGAUGAAGAGGAAGAAGAGGACGAGGACAAAGAAGAAAAGGAAGGAGAGCCAUCUCUGAUGAGAUUAGGGCAACACUUGUUGAUCAUGUGAUCAACCACGGUUUGACCAUGAGAGAGGCACAUCCUCCAUCACAAUGCCACACUGAGUCCGUACAACACCGGCCAUAUGCUCACUUUUCUGGAUGCAAUUUACACAAUGCUUGUCCCUGAUCCAGAUCAGGAGCCUGCUAGAUUUGUGGUUUUACGGGACAAUGUUAGUUUUCACCGGGCUGUUCUGGUCCAAAACUGGUUUGCCACCCAUCCACAAUUUGUAGUUUUGUACCUACCCCCAUAUUCACCUUUUCUAAAUCCCAUAGAGGAAUUCUUCUCAGCCUGGCGCUAGAAAGUGUAUGAUCGCCAACCCUAUGCCCGCAUGCCGCUUCUCCAGGCAAUGGAGGACGCAUGUGGGGACAUAGAGGUUGCCUCUGUCCAAGGUUGGAUACGCCAUGCUAGGAGAUACUUCCCUCCAUGUGGGGACAUAGAAGUUGCCUCUGUCCAAGGUUGGAUACGCCAUGCUAGGAGAUACUUCCCUCUAUGUGGGGACAUAGAGGUUGCCUCUGUCCAAGGUUGGAUACGCCAUGCUAGGAGAUACUUCCCUCUAUGUGGGGACAUAGAGGUUGCCUCUGUCCAAGGUUGGAUACGCCAUGCUAGGAGAUACU